rnacentral:misc_RNA from 1 species
AAUAAAUUAAUCUACAAGUAGUGGGGUUGUGUGGUAUGUAUAUCUGACUUUUGGGGCAGUAUUAGUCAUCCAACUGCCGGAAAAACGCCUUUUUUCGUCGUGUUGUUCUUUUUCGCCGGUUUCAAGCCCGUUUUUACCGUCCCCCCAUCCAUCCCUUGUCUAUCUAUCGUGUGGUAAUCUCAUAUCUACCAAGAUCGUAUUUCCACAGAGUUCAUGGUCAGAAAACGGACAUUUUGGGCUGGUGAUUCGGGCUGUGGAUUUUGAGGCGUAAUGUGGCACGUGACUGUGGGCUGUAGAUCGAGAUUAUGUCGAGAAUUGGACAAUGUCACAUGAUAGGGUGAAUAUCACGAGUCUGGGCUGUACAACGAUGCACUUUUCAUUCUGGUGAGACAUGUGGAGCAGGUGAACGGUGGGAGGAUUUUGGCCUUGGUGGGGGUUUUUCGGGUCCUGUUGUGUAAUUUUGGGGCAUAUUUUCAAAGUUGAAGUGCUGUGACAUUCCCACA